UGGGGAAUAUUGCACAAUGGCGGGAACUCUGAUGCAGCGACGCCGCGUGAACGAAGAAGGCUUUCGAGUAGUAAAGUUCUUUUAUAAGGGAAGAUAAUGACGGUACCAUAAGAAAAAGCCCCGGCUAACUACGAGCCAGCAGCCGCGGUAAUACGUAGGGGGCUAGCGUUGUCCGGAAUCACUGGGCGUAAAGGGUUCGCAGGCGGAAAUGCAAGUCAGGUGUAAAAGGCAGUAGCUUAACUACUGUAAGCAUUUGAAACUGCAUAUCUUGAGAAGAGUAGAGGUAAGUGGAAUUUUUAGUGUAGCGGUGAAAUGCGUAGAUAUUAAAAAGAAUACCGGUGGCGAAGGCGACUUACUGGGCUCAUUCUGACGCUGAGGAACGAAAGCGUGGGUAGCAAACAGG
rnacentral:rRNA from 1 species